AUUGAACGCUGGCGGCAGGCCUAACACAUGCAAGUCGAGCGGAUGAAGGGAGCUUGCUCCUGGAUUCAGCGGCGGAAGGGUGAGUAAUGCCUAGGAAUCUGCCUGGUAGUGGGGGAUAACGUCCGGAAACGGGCGCUAAUACCGCAUACGUCCUGAGGGAGAAAGUGGGGGAUCUUCGGACCUCACGCUCUCAGAUGAGCCUAGGUCGGAUUAGCUAGUUGGUGGGGUAAGGGCUUACUAAGGGGACGAUCCGUAACUAGUCUGCGAGGGUGAUCAGUCACACUGGGACUGAGAGACGGUCCUGGCUCCGACGGGCGGCAGCGAUGGGUAAGAUAGGACGAUGUGCGAAAGCCUGAACCAUCCAGGCCGGGUGUAUGAAGAAAGGCUUCGGGUGGUAUAGCACUUUUAGGUGUGAGAAAGGGCAGUGAGUGAAAACCUGGCUGUGUGGACGUUACCAACAGAGUAAGCACCGGCUAACUUCGG
rnacentral:rRNA from 1 species